CCCAAGGCCGGUAUGGGCUCUGUAGUUCCAAGCCAAUUUGGGCUCAUGGGACUCUGUUUCCAACAAAAGAAGUAACAAAAAGGAAUACAAGAAGCUAUAUUUUUUGGGGGGGACACUAUUCAGAGUUUAGAAAGAUACCGUGAAGCGCGGGCAGGCAGGGUUUAGGGAUUGGGCUUCCGGGGCCUGAAGAAGGAAAGAGAAAGCUGCCUGGAGCCGGCCGGGCCGCCUUGUGAUGCAGAUGCAGUCUCUCAGGAAACUGCCACCUGUGCUCCCUUGGGUCGGCGCCAAAUGUCAGACCCCCCACCUCCUUUUCAGAGCAGAGCAGAGAAGUCCCCAGGGCUUUGGCUCAUCGCCUUGCGGAUGCAGAUACUUGCAGAUUUCUUUUACAAAAGGCAGCCUUUCUGAGGCACCCCCUGCCGCCAGCUUUGCAAAGUCUCUGAAUAGGCAACUAGAAAUUCGGUGACCAACGGAGACCUCCGAGCCCACAGUAUUUUGUGUAUGUGCUCAAUGGCGACGACUAGUUAUGGAUACACAGUGGCUGUGACGUCCGCCAGCUCUGAGCUUCAGGAGCCUGGCCCCACAGUCACGUAGACCUUUGCCCAUUGGGGUGGCAAGUACGCGACACUUUCCUGUGAAGCUGAUCUUUAACAGAGAAGCAUCCGUCAGGACUCCGCGGCUCUGUGCUAGGCCAAGCAGGCUAAGGGACUACUGAAUCCGGAGAAGUUAAGUUGGAGACACUCAUCAGUGGUGCUCUGUGACUAUCAACAACCCUCAGUCUGUGACUAAGAAAAAUCCUUGGUACAAGACCAACAACACUCCUUGGUUCGGUUACCAGACAACGACCCCCCCAUUCCCUCCCUAACCGCACCUAAGGAAAAUAAAACCUCACGGCUUGAUUGGAAA